UCACGGGCUACCGCUGCGACGAGUGCAGCUGCGUCUUCCGGCGCCCGGGGAGCCUUAACGCCCACAUAUCGCAGGUGCACAGCCGGCCGGUACAGCUGGUGCAGGUGGAGCCUGUGCAACAGAAGAGGCAGCAAGUUGAACAAGAACAGAGCAGCGAUAAGGGGUCAGCGCCCCCCGGGACCCCCCAGCC
rnacentral:lncRNA from 1 species